rnacentral:rRNA from 1 species
GACUUUCGGCGAUGGAUGUCUUGGUUCCCACAACGAUGAAGGACGCGGCCAACUGUGAUACUCAGUGCGAAUUGCAGAUUUCAGUGAAUCAUCAGACAGCUG